AACCCAUGAUGAGGGCACCUUCUUAAAAGGUCCUUAAGUCUCUCCCAUGUAUCAUAAAGAGUUUCAAUAUCAAACUAAACAAGCGAAGAGAUGUCAUUCAUUAACUU
rfam:Gossypium raimondii chromosome 4, whole genome shotgun sequence.